CUUCAAAGUUAUUAUCAGGUACUUUCGGUUCUGUUUUUCUGGGUGAUGAUAGAUGUCAUAAUAUCAUAGGUAUUGGUGAUGUUAACAUCCAGAUGUAUGAUGGUAUUGUCA